rnacentral:misc_RNA from 1 species
CCUAAGAGAUACGUGUUAUGUGAAGUGCUCACACAGAUUGUCUGAUGAAGAACGAGCAGAGAUACCGGUAUAGGCUUGUAGCUCAGGUGGUUAGAGCGCACCCCUGAUAAGGGUGAGGUCGGUGGUUCAAGUCCACUCAGGCCUACCACUUUUCCUUUAUGCUGUGUUGUGAAGCAACUCGUUUACAUUAAGUAAACUUCGUUACUCCACGCCUUGCCUAAAGAAAAAGCUUCUUAUUAUAAGAAGAAAAAGGAGUGGUUAUACGGGUAUUAAAACAUUAUGGGGCUAUAGCUCAGCUGGGAGAGCGCCUGCCUUGCACGCAGGAGGUCAGCGGUUCGAUCCCGCUUAGCUCCACCAUAAUCUCUUGAAUAUAAAACAAUGAUUCAGAGUAUAUUAGGAAUAGUAUACUGCGAAUUAUUAUGCUCUUUAACAAUCUGGAACAAGCUGAAAAAUUGAAAACAAAUCAAUAUAUCAACGAGGUAUAUUGGUGAGUCUCUCAAAAUCUCAAACCUUAAAGGUUGUCACGCAAAGUUUAUCUUUGAAAGAGACACUUUCGGGUUGUGA